AACACCACUUCAUCGCCUCCAAUCGCUCUUAAACUAAAAGAGCAUUAACCUUUGGUUUCAGAUGCGCCAUAUGGUUUUGUCGCACUCUUCGUCAGAAUCAAGAAUCACUGAGGGAUACAACAUUACAACCUACAAAAUAGAUGGUCGGCUUUGCAGCACAAGUAUGAAGUAGGGCCGGGCUCUAGUGAAAAUUUAAGAUCUGUACUGCAAUCAUACUUACCUGUCGUGUGCUACUACGCAUAAUUACUGCAUCCGCAAGCAUGGAAAAGAGA